CUCAGGACGAACGCUGGCGGCGUGCCUAACACAUGCAAGUCGAGCGGGGACUUGUUGAGGAAGUCUUCGGAUGGAAUCGAUAAGUUCUAGCGGCGGACGGGUGAGUAACGCGUGAGCAACCUGCCCUCCACAGGGGGAUAACGCACCGAAAGGUGCACUAAUACCGCAUAAGACCACGGCACUGACAUGGUGCAGGGGUCAAAGGAGCAAUCCGGUGGAAGAUGGGCUCGCGUCUGAUUAGCUAGUUGGUGAGGUAACGGCCCACCAAGGCGACGAUCAGUAGCCGACCUGAGAGGGUGAUCGGCCACAUUGGAACUGAGAGACGGUCCAAACUCCUACGGGAGGCAGCAGUGGGGAAUAUUGGGCAAUGGGCGAAAGCCUGACCCAGCAACGCCGCGUGAAGGAAGAAGGUUUUCGGAUCGUAAACUUCUAUCCUUGGUGAAGAUAAUGACGGUAGCCAAGAAGGAAGCCCCGGCUAACUACGUGCCAGCAGCCGCGGUAAUACGUAGGGGGCAAGCGUUGUCCGGAAUGAUUGGGCGUAAAGGGCGCGUAGGCGGCCAACUAAGUCUGGAGUGAAAGUCCUGCUUUUAAGGUGGGAAUUGCUUUGGAAACUGGAUAGCUUGAGUGCAGGAGAGGUAAGCGGAAUUCCCGGUGUAGCGGUAAAAUGCGUAGAGAUCGGGAGGAACACCAGUGGCGAAGGCGGCUUACUGGACUGUAACUGACGCUGAGGCGCGAAAGUGUGGGGAGCAAACAGGAUUAGAUACCCUGGUAGUCCACACUGUAAACGAUGAAUGCUAGGUGUAGGGGGUAUCGACCCCUUCUGUGCCGGAGUAAACACAAUAAGCAUUCCGCCUGGGGAGUACGGCCGCAAGAAUGAAACUCAAAUGAAUUGACGG
rnacentral:rRNA from 1 species